AAAUCCGACAAGUUUGGAUUCAGAAAGGUGAUAUCUUUCCUUGUUCUUCAUCUUAGUUUGUUUUGAUUGUUUAUGUAAUGCUUUGUUUGGUGCUUAUUGCAUAUUUUUGUUCAUUGUAUUACAUGAUGAUUUUCGUGUGUGAAAGUUGUUUUUUUAAAAUUGAUUUGAGGAAAGGUAUGUGGGAAUUUCAAAAUCUUUGAGAAAGGAGAUGAUUGAGAAUCAUUAUUUUGAGGAGAGAAUUUUUUAAAAAAAUUGUUUAAACGGUUUUUAACUUCACAAUCAUAUUAAGUUAAAUUCAUAUUAAUUAUCGUUUUUACUCCACUUUUUAUUAUUUUGACGAUAAUUUAAUAUAUGAUUUCUUUAUGCAUAUA
rnacentral:lncRNA from 1 species